rnacentral:rRNA from 1 species
CAGGGCUUGACAUUUUACUUUCCUUUUUGAAAAAAAAGGUGUACUGCUUCUCGAAGUAGAGGUAUAAACAGGUGGUGCAUGGCUGUCGUCAGCUCGUGCCGUGAGGUGUCGGGUUAAGUCCUUUAACGAGCGCAACCCUUGUCUUUAGUUGAGUCUGUGUUUUAUAAACAUAGAAUCCAAACUAGAGAGACUGCCGGUGAUAAGCCGGAGGAAGGAGAGGAUGACGUCAAGUCAGCAUGCCCCUUACGUCCUGGGCUACACACGUGCUACAAUGGCCGGGACAAUGAGAUGCAACCCUGCGAAGGCAAGCUAACCUCAAAAACCCGGUCUCAGUUCGGAUUGCAGGCUGCAACUCGCCUGCAUGAAGUCGGAAUCGCUAGUAAACGCUGGUCAGCCAUACAGCGUUGAAUAUUGUUCCC